rnacentral:lncRNA from 1 species
AAAAUAUUUAAAAGACUGCAUGUAACAGGUCAGGAAAGAUCAUAAUUUUACUCAUAUCUUUACUCAUAUAAAUGCACUUACAUAGUUUCUCAACAACCAAUGAUUAUGUGUUGCUGCUGACUCAAGCCUUCAAAGUUUUCCAUGAUUAUGAAAGUAGUAAAUAAAAACACAGAAGACAGAGGAAGGAAAAGUAAAUGUAAAAUCUCCAAGGACAAGAAAUACCACGUGAAUGGUUACCUUUCUUGCUCAGAGCAACUCUUCAGAUCAUGGAUGUCCACGCAUGCCCGUGCUUCAUACACAGAAACACAUAUAUGAACACACACACACAAACACAGAAGUGACCCAAAUGCAAGUUUCAAACAUGCUAAUGAUAUGGAGAGAGAGUGAAGAGCUAUCAUGUAGAAAAGAAUGGUGUGAAUUGCAGAAGACGAACACUCAGCAUUUUUGCCUCUGAAAGCUGCAUGUGCUACAGACACUUUGGAAAUGACUUGUGCUCCCUAAACAUGAGAUAGAAGCUCUACACACUUAAAAAAAAAAUUAAAAACUACAUAAGAAAAUGGAUACUAUGGGUCAUUGUGUCAAAAAGUCUUCUUGAAUGACUAUACUCUCCACUUACUCUGUUUGGUUAUAUUGCACUAUGUACCUGGGACUUUUC